GCCUGGGUGGCUCAAUGGUUGAGCGUCUGCCUUUGGCUCAGGUCAUGAUCCUGGGGUCCUGGGAUCAAGUCCCACGUCAGGCU
rnacentral:tRNA from 1 species